GUGCCAGCAGCCGCGGUGAUACGUAGGGUGCGAGCGUUGUCCGGAUUUAUUGGGCGUAAAGGGCUCGUAGGUGGUUGAUCGCGUCGGAAGUGUAAUCUUGGGGCUUAACCCUGAGCGUGCUUUCGAUACGGGUUGACUUGAGGAAGGUAGGGGAGAAUGGAAUUCCUGGUGGAGCGGUGGAAUGCGCAGAUAUCAGGAGGAACACCAGUGGCGAAGGCGGUUCUCUGGGCCUUUCCUGACGCUGAGGAGCGAAAGCGUGGGGAGCGAACAGGCUUAGAUACCCUUGUAGUCC
rnacentral:rRNA from 1 species